GUUCUCUUAGUGUAAUAUAAACAUAUUCCUUUUUCAUAGGAGCGAUAUGAGGAUA
rnacentral:tRNA from 1 species